ACAAAAAUCAACUGGGGAUCUUGUUAAAAUGCAGAUUCUGUUUCAGUGGGUCUGACAUGAGUUCUGAGAUUUUACAUUUCUAACAAGCUCCCAGGUGAUGCCCAU
rnacentral:pre_miRNA from 1 species